rnacentral:rRNA from 1 species
GCCAGCAGCCAUAUCACUCUGAAACCCACUGCUAAGCAGGUGUGAGCCUGGUCAGUACCUGGAUAGGAGACCUCCUGGGAAAAACUAAGGUUGCUGCUGGAA